CGGCGGACGGGUGGAGUAACGCGUGGACAACCUGCCCUAUGCAGGGGGAUAACAUCCGGAAACGGGUGCUAAUACCGCAUAAGCGCACAGUACCGCAUGGUACAGUGUGAAAAGCUGAGGCGGCAUAGGAUGGGUCCGCGUUGGAUUAGGCAGUUGGCGGGGUAACGGCCCACCAAACCGACGAUCCAUAGCCGGCCUGAGAGGGUGGACGGCCACAUUGGGACUGAGACACGGCCCAGACUCCUACGGAAGGCAGCAG
rnacentral:rRNA from 1 species